rnacentral:rRNA from 1 species
CCUACGGGAGGCAGCAGUGGGGAAUAUUGCACAAUGGGCGCAAGCCUGAUGCAGCAACGCCGCGUGAGGGACGACGGCCUUCGGGUUGUAAACCUCUUUUAGUAGGGAAGAAGCGAAGGUGACGGUACCUGCAGAAAAAGCACCGGCUAACUACGUGCCAGCAGCCGCGGUAAUACGUAGGGUGCAAGCGUUAUCCGGAAUUAUUGGGCGUAAAGAGCUCGUAGGCGGUUUGUCACGUCUGCUGUGAAAACUGGAGGCUCAACCUCCAGCCUGCAGUGGGUACGGGCAGACUAGAGUGCGGUAGGGGAGAUUGGAAUUCCUGGUGUAGCGGUGGAAUGCGCAGAUAUCAGGAGGAACACCGAUGGCGAAGGCAGAUCUCUGGGCCGUAACUGACGCUGAGGAGCGAAAGCAUGGGGAGCGAACAGGAUUAGAUACCCUGGUAGUCCAUGCCGUAAACGUUGGGAACUAGAUGUAGGGACCAUUCCACGGUUUCUGUGUCGCAGCUACGACAUACGUUACCCGUCCGUCGGGUAGGUACGGCCGCGACGACGUAACGUACGAACGUAGAGUAGACGGCGUGAGACGUGCCGACGGACGACGACGAGGGAGGUUAGG